rnacentral:ncRNA from 1 species
UGUCUCCUCCACCCUCCUCCUUUGGCGUGGAUUAAGCGCAACCUUAUUCGGGUUGCGUUUUUUUUG